GCAAGCUGAAACUGAAGCAUCACGACUGAACGACGGUGACAGCGCAGGUUCGAAUCCUGCCCCCUGCA
rnacentral:tRNA from 1 species